rnacentral:lncRNA from 1 species
CCUUUUUCUUCUUUUAAUUUUGUUCAGCAUUAAAGGAGGGAACUUCAUAAACAUUGAUUGUCAUUUACAGAAAACAUUCAGAAAUCAUGUGUGCAUUAUCCAGGGAAUGCUAACAGUAUUCAACUAAUAAUUUACAGGACAUAAAAUAAGGACAAAAACCUAUUACAUUCUAAAGUAAUAUAAAACUCUUUUUUUUAAUUGUUAGGGAGUGCUGUUUUAUUCUAGUAUAUUUAUAAUAAAAAAAACUCAAUGCUUACUUCCUAAAUGACUCAGGCUGCAGUUUUACUCACGUACACAGAAAUUAGGGCUUACAUAUUAAACAAGGAGAGAGAGACCAGAAAAGUGUAGAUUUUAAAACUACGUAUGUCACUGGGUUUAUUUGUAGUUUGCCUUUUGCCCCUAUCAGCCAAUAAUAAUGCAUGUAAUAAUGUAAGUUAAGCUCCAGAAAAAUCAAAGCCUCUAGGAGGCAUGAUUUCUUUAAAAAAAGAAUAUAAUUAUUACGCUUUUUAGAGUGAAUACUUUUAUUUUACAUAGUCUGGCAAUGCAGGCUGUAUGCGUUGCUAACAAUGACACCCGUGCUGGUAAGAGAUGCAGGCUGCACAUCGCAGGUGCAGUGGCGGCUGGUAGGUACAGCCAAGCCCCACACCACAUGGUUUCAACACUGGAGGACUCAGACCUCUGCUCUCUACUUGACACGUGUGGGCUGGAGCUCAGGUAAAAACAUUAAAUCUCUGAAUGUUGGAAAUACAUGAAAAUUAUUUCUCUCAGUCCUAAAAGCAAGGAAUUAUUGUCAGGGAUUUCAAAAAUAUUGGAAAGUCUCAUUUAAAUCUAAAUAUCUUUUUUAUUAUAAAUCAAUCAUCAUAAAAUAUUAGCCUUUUAAAGUUGUGUUUGGGAUGCAGGAAAAG